UACGUAGGGGGCAAGCGUUGUCCGGAUUUACUGGGCGUAAAGAGCGUGUAGGCGGUCCGGUAAGUCCGCUGUGAAAGUCGGGGGCUCAACCCUCGAAUGCCGGUGGAUACUGUCGGGCUAGAGUACGGAAGAGGCGAGUGGAAUUCCUGGUGUAGCGGUGAAAUGCGCAGAUAUCAGGAAGAACACCUGUGGCGAAAGCGGCGCAGCUGGACCACAACUGACGCUGAGGCGCGAAAGCGUGGGGAGCAAACAGG
rnacentral:rRNA from 1 species